UCAUUGCUUCAGAGUUGAUGAAGUUCUUGCAAAGUAGAAGACACUGUAUCUCCUGAAGAACCAUGCUUAUCAUCCUGACACAGUUACAGGUCAGGUGGUGAUUAUCUCAUUGGUCAGUGUGGAGCUAAUAUGACCAAGGUUGUGGAUUUGAUCCCUGUAUUGGCCAUUCACUCAGGAGUUGAACUUGGUGAUCAUUGUGGGUCCCUUCCAGUUCAGAAUAUUCUGUGAUCUGUGAAGUGUCAUCUUUCCAGUGCUUUUCUAGGAUCAGGAAAGAAUUGCUAUAUUGUUCUUUGAUACAAGUCUCAGAUUACUCAAAAGGGCUUGUGAAAACAAUUGAAGAAUGUACUUUUUGGACUUAAUUUUAACUCCAGAUGGAGUUCUUCCCUGAAACCCAUAAGUUCUGUAAUCUCAGAAUCUGCCUGUAUGGUACCUAUGAGCACUUUAGGGUAGAAGACAUAUGUUGGACUAAAGAUAUUCUCAAACUCCACAUCAACAACAGCUCUUCCAUCUAAAACCAGCUUGGAAACUUCUCUGACAGUUCCUGGUUGUCAACACAGGGGCAUCAAUAUGAUUUAUAUUUUUGAUGUAAGGCUCUGCUCUCAGAAUGAAUAUCUUAAAAAAUAGUUAAAGCAAUAAGGGAAAUGGGCAAGGUUAUUUCUUACAGCUCAGAAAAAUUCAGUUACCUCUACUGUUGUCAGCUACUGCUGGAUACCUACCAGGCACCUUCUGGAGGCCCUCACCUUUGUGAGGCCACUGAAUUCAGUAAACCCAGACAGAUAUCCCUGUUCUGCCUCCUGUGACUCAGCCAUGUCUUCCUGUAUGUUGCCAUCCUUCAGUCAAGCCCUAGUUUCACAGUGACUUUUAACAUGAAUAGUAGUUGAUCUGGAUCUAAGUGAAUUGUUCAAUUUAACACUCUUCUCCUUUUGAAUCCUGACCUCUGAUCUCCUUAAUGCAGUGUAGAUAUUUUCCCCUAAUCCACCAUGGACAUCAACAUUUGAAAUACAUUCUUACUACAGUUCUUGGAGGAUGACAAACACCUUCAGGUCUGUGUCUGAGCUCUCUGUGGUGUCAGAGCCCCAGGGAUCACACAGCUGGAGAGUGGUGGUGUGCUGGUGAUGCAAUGAAAGCCCCCACACCUCUGUGUGCCACACCACAACAUCCAUCCGGGUAAUUCAAUCCAUGUUCUCUAAACGGGAUCAAUUCUCAGCAUGACUGAAGGCAUCUACUGAGAUGAGCAAAGAAAUGCCCUGUUUCCUUCCACUCAGCUGUGAAAGCAUGGUCCUGAUCACACACAGGCCUACAUGGUUAAAGAUGGUGCUGGUUUUUGCCUCUGCAUGCCUGUGCUGUCUUGUUUGCUGCUGCCUCGCUUCCUGCUCUUUCAAUGGAUUUGACAGCCUGUCCUGCUUCUUGGGCUAAGUGGUUGGGCAGUGCUGAUGGCUGCUUUCCAGCUGAUUUCCUAUCCCAACUCAAAAGUAGCUUAAUUUUGUUUUCAAUUGUAGUGUUGAGAAAAUGUGUGGGAAUCUGGGGAACUAGAAAGUCCUUCUUGACUAAAUGAAAUAUGCUGUUGUAUUGUCAUAACCUAGUUUGGGCUCCCAGGAGACUCUCAUGAUAAACACUCAAAAUACUGUAAGCAAAACUAA